UUCCCCCAAAUUAAAAAAAUCACAAUUUUCAGGUCACACCUAGUGAAGAACGACGCUGCUUCCCCAAAUAUGAAAAAUUGUCAAGAAUGAUUCAUAGAUCUAAGAACGACUGCAUCUUCUCCAUAGCUUAUUUUUGUCAAGACUGAUCCUUUACAGAUUGAAGAACGACACAUUUUUCAGUUUCAUGAUUGUUCACCGAUGACCUACGAAAAUCCCUCAUAGAUUUGUCAUUGUUCAUCAAGGACAGAACAGAAGCUUCACUUAAGUAGAUGAUGUCUCAAAGCUUCAUCACAUUGAAAGGAUUUUGUUGCUAUACGAUUUAUAUGCUGCCUCUGUGUAUCUUCCGGAUCCAGUCACAAAUAAUAGUUGCCAAGGCGGGGAGAUGAACUAGUUAGCUCAUCAACAAACUUUGCAAGAUCAGGUCUCCAAAUCUUUCAAAGAAGAAGUAGUGAACAGGUGCACUCAACUGUUGCCAUUGUUAUCUUUCUUUGUCUACAUUUCGACUGUCUUUCAUUAUCAUCCUUAAAACUUUUAGGGGUUUAUUUCUUGUACGGGUAGCUUGUUAAUGAUCUUUGGUUGUAAGUUAAUUUCUUGUUGGUGGAGUUAAUACUGUUCAGUGCAAAUGCAUUUCAUUUCAACUUGGUAAUAAUUUAACAGAUAAGAUAGCUAUCACUUUUUCUAGGUCUCUCGGAGUUUCAAUUGACUUCACAACAUACCUUCACAUGAAAUUUUUUUACUUUUUAUAUGUCGAUAUACACAGGCUUCAAAUUAUGAGAACUAUAGUCCUUCUACCUCGUGCCUCACCUUGAAAAAAUCGUGCAUCUUUUCCUUCUUCCUUGCAGUGGUGGUUGCAAACAUGUUUUCUACUUUGGGUACUGGUCUUCAUUUUGCAUUAUGUUCUUGAAAGGCUGGAUUUAGAAUUGGAGCUUUCACUAAUAUGUUUCCUAGUAACUUCAUGUGUAUAUAUUGCUUGUGUACCUAAUUUCCCGUCACAAGAGAGCUCGCGAUCUUUGGAAUCACUGCGCCUUGAAAAAUAUGGAGAGUCGUUUUUCUCAAUCAGGCGGACCUUACUGGAAUGUUCCUAUAGGAAGAAAAGACGGACGAAUAUUAAUAGCUAGUGAAAAAACACUGCUUCCAAUGCAUACAAUCAACAUUUCUCAACUAAAACAAAGCUUCCACCAAAGAGGUGCAUAUACUCUAGUAUUUACCCAUUCCUCAUCAUUUAUGAACCACACAUACAACUUCAACGCCACACGUGACAUUGAUCCUACACUACGUCCAUCGUUUGCAGCAAGCUUGAGUGGCAUAUUUUCACUCAAAAACAGGGCAAAAAAAGCAGGAAUCAACAAUAAUCCUGCACCAACAACAUUUGAUAAUACUCAUUACUGUAAUCCCUUGGGGAGCUGAUGAUGGAAUCCUCAUGAUGGAAGUUUAUAGAGUUCUUGGACCUGGUGGCUACUGGGUGCUUUCUGGCCCUCAGAUCAAUUGGAAGACUAAUUACAAGGCCUGACAAAGCCCUAUGGAGGACCUUCAAGAAGAACAAAGGAAAAUUGAAGAGAUUGCAAAACUUCUUUGCUGGCAUAAGAAAUCUGAAAAGGGUGAGACUUCUAUUUGGCAAAAAAGGAUGGAUGUCGACUCAUUCCGUUCUACACAAGAAGAUUCUGAAGCUACACUUCGUAAAUCCAUAGAUGCAGAUGAUGUCUGGACGAAAUGUGUUUCAAGAGGGUCUCAGUAUGCGGAAAGAUAUCUAGAAGUCUCUAUACUUACAGUUUUGUGAUAUCUGAUAUGGUGGAUGGUUACCAUGUGAAAUUACUAUCCAAAGAUGUUGGUGCAAGGUACAAUAAAAUGGAAGCAUGCAUAACACCAAGCAAAGGCAAUGGUGAUGAUGAAGAUCUAAAACCAUUCCUUGAGAGACUUUAUGUUGUUCCUCCAACAAUUUCUAAUAGACUAGUUUCUAAAGUCUCCGUCGAGGCAUAUCUUGAAGACAACAAAAAAAUGGAAGAAGCAUGUUAGUGCUUAUAAGAAAAUUAACAUACUCAUAGACACAUGAAUGUACCGUAAUAUCAUGAACAUGAAUUCUGCACUGGAGGUUUUGCUGCAGCUCUUCAAUCUCCCAAGUUGUGGGUUAUGAAUGUUAUGCCUACGAUAAUCGAGAAAAAUAUCUUGGGAGUCAUAUAUGAACGUGGGAUUAUCGGAAUUUAUCAUGACUGGCCAUUUCUAGAAGACCAACCGAUGACAUAAGGUAUCUGAUCCAAACAUUCACGAUUGCAUUCGAAAUGGAGGGUUAUUGGGAGAACAGUCAUAGAGAAAACAGAAAGAAAACAAAGCGUACCGUCAACCGAUAUGCCACCGCCAAGAUACUGACAUACGAAGAUGGCUGCUUUGAUUGGGAAAAUGCCGGUAAUUGAAUUUGAAUUGUGGCCAAAAGUAAACUCGAUCUAUCGUAGUGAAUGAUGAAGAGCUUUUCUACUAUUGUCAUAUACAUUUGAAUGCAUUUGGUUUUUUGGAUUUUAUUGAUAUUAGAGAUCUUUAAGCAAUAAAUUUCUAAGUAUUAGUUGUACAAGACAUGUUUCUCGAAGUUUAUUUGAAAUAUAUAGGGUCGAUUUAAUUAUUAGUUAA